rnacentral:rRNA from 1 species
UACGUAGGGUGCAAGCGUUAUCCGGAAUUAUUGGGCGUAAAGAGCUCGUAGGCGGUUUGUCGCGUCUGCUGUGAAAACCCGAGGCUCAACCUCGGGCCUGCAGUGGGUACGGGCAGACUAGAGUGCGGUAGGGGAGAUUGGAAUUCCUGGUGUAGCGGUGGAAUGCGCAGAUAUCAGGAGGAACACCGGUGGCGAAGGCGGGAUCCUGGGCCAGUACUGACGCUGAGGAGCGAAAGCGUGGGGAGCAAACAGG